GCCUUCGUGGUGUAGUGGUCAGCGCGCUCGGCACGUAUUCGAGAGAUUCGUGGUUCGAGUCCCGGCGAGGGCU
rnacentral:tRNA from 1 species